GAGACCAACAAGCAACAUAGAAAGUGGAAUACAGUAGCAACAAUAGAGCAACAAUGGCGGCAAAGAUAUUUUCCAUCCUUAUGCUCCUUGCUCUUUCUUCAUGUGUUCCUAACGCGACCAUUUUUCCUCCAUACUCACAAGCUCCUAUAGCUGCCCUUCUUCCUCCAUACCUUCCAUAACUGACCGCUUCAGUAUGUGAAAACCCAGCCCUUCAACCCUAUAGGCUCCAACAAGCAAUCGCAACAAACAACUUACCUUUAUCACACCUGUUCUUUCAACAAUCGCCAGCCCUAUCUUUGGUGCAGUCAUUGGUACAAACCAUCAGGGCACAACAGCUGCAACAACUCGUGCUACCAGUGAUCAGCUAAGUAGCUCUAGCAAACCUUUCUCCCUACUCUCAGCAACAACAAUUUCUUCCAUUCAACCAACUGUCUACACUGAACCCUGCUGCUUAUUUGCAGCAACAACAACUACUACCAUUCAGCCAGCUAGCUACUGCCUACUCUCAGCAGCAACAAUUUCUUCCAUUUAACCAAUUGGCCGCACUGAACCCCUCUGCUUAUUUCCAGCAGCAAAUACUACUACCAUUUGGCCAGCUAGCUACAACAAGCCCCGCUUCCUUCUUGACACAACAACAAGUGCUUCCGUUCUACCAGCAGUUUGUGGCUAACCCCGCAACCCUCUUACAACUGCAACAGUUGCUGCCCUUUGUCCAACUUGCUUUGACAAACCCAGCAGCCUUCUACCAACAACACAUCAUUGGCGGUGCCCUCUUUUAGAUUGCUUAUUAGUUGUAAUUCAAUAAUGAAGUUUUUUGGCUGAUGUAUGUGGCCUCCUAGAAAUAAGAAGUUAUAUUUCCAAAUUCUAAUGUGCUAUUGGUCUGCAAGGGUGUUCGAUAAUUAUUUUCCCUAAGAUUGGGAAGCAAGCUAU